AUAAAGCACCUGGCUAGAGUCUGGAGAGCACUUCCAUCCUGCCUAACCAUGAAGUCUGGUGGUCUGGUCUUCCUCCUCGUGGGGCUCCUCGCUCUCUCUGCCAUAGUGCCCUCUGUCUCUGGCCAAGUGCGUCCCGGAAGGUGCCCCCGGCCCACCGGUGGGGUAUGUGCGGAACUCUGUAGCAACGAUUUCGAUUGUCGCCCUGGGGAGAAGUGCUGCUACAAUGGUUGUGGCCACCAGUGCCUGAAAGCCUUGAAAGGGUCUCGCUAACCUGGACUCCAGAGGGGAUGAGCCCUUCCACAGGACCUCUCACCCUGCGCAGGCGUCCACUGCCAACUCCUUUCCUGCUUCCUUGGAUGAGCAGACUCCGCUUUGGCAUGCAAUGCAACCUUGUACUGAACACGCUCACCCAAUAAAAAUGAUAUGGGUUUCCCAGCAACAUGA